rnacentral:rRNA from 1 species
GGACUAAGACAUGCUAGUCGAGCGUCUUCAGGCUAUGUUGAGGACGCGGCGUACGGCUCAGUAACACGUGGCCAACCUACCCUUAGGACGGAGACAACCCCGGGAAACUGGGGCUAAUCCCCGAUAGGUGAGGACGCCUGGAAUGGUCUCUCACCCAAAGGACGUUGAAGCCAUGCUUUUCAGCGUUGCCUAAGGAUGGAGCCGCGGCCGAUCAGGUUGUUGGUGAGGUAACGGCUCACCAAGCCUAUAACCGGUACGGGCCAUGAGAGUGGGAGCCCGGAGAUGGGCACUGAGACAAGGGCCCAGGCCCUACGGGGCGCAGCAGUUGCGAUACCUCCACAAUGCACGAAAGUGCGAUGGGGCUAACCCGAGUGCCGUCCGCUGAGGAGGGCUUUUCUCCGCUGUAAGGAGGCGGAGGAAUAAGGAGAGGGCAAGACUGGUGUCAGCCGCCGCGGUAAUACCAGCUCUCCGAGUGGUAGGGACGAUUAUUGGGCCUAAAGCGUUCGUAGCCGGCUUGGCAAGUCUCUCGUUAAAUCCAGUGACCUAAUCGCUGGGCUGCGGGAGAUACUGUCAGGCUUGGGAGCGGAAGGGUCGACGGUAUCUCGGGGUAGGGUGAAAUCCUGUAUCCGGG